CUAAUCUGCCCUUAGGACGAGAAUAACCCCGGGAAACUGGGGCUAACUCUCGAUAGGUGAAGAACUCUGGAAUGAGUCUUCACUCAAAAAGCUUCACGUUAUCCUCGUGAAGUCGCCUAAGGAUGAGGCCGCGGCCGAUCAGGUUGUUGGCGAGGUAACGGCUCACCAAGCCUUUUACCGGUGCGGGCCGUGAGAGCGGGAGCCCGGAGAUGGGUACUGAGACAAGGACCCAGGCCCUACGGGGCGCAGCAGUCGCGAAACCUUUGCAAUACACGAAAGUGUGACAGGGCUAUCCCGAGUGCCAUCCGCUGAGGAAGGUUUUUACCCAGUCUAGAUAGCUGGGGGAAUAAGGAGAGGGCAAGUCUGGUGUCAGCCGCCGCGGUAAUACCAGCUCUCCGAGUGGUGUGGAUGUUUAUUGGGCCUAAAGCAUCCGUAGCUGGCUAGGUCAGUCCCUUGUCAAAUCCACCGAAUUAAUCGUUGGAUCGCGGGGGAUACUGCUUGGCUAGGGGACGAGAGAGGCAGACGGUAUUUUCGGGGUAGGGGUGAAAUCCUAUAAUCCCGGGAAGACCACCAGUGGCGAAGGCUGUCUGCUAGAACGCGCCCGACGGUGAGGGAUGAAAGCUGGGGGAGCGAACCGGAUUAGAUACCCGGGUAGUCCCAGCUGUAAACGAUGCAGACUAGGUGUUUGGA
rnacentral:rRNA from 1 species